ACUCCGGAGACUGAGCUAUGGGGGAAAGCAGCGGGACGAGGAUGACGAGGCCUACGGGAAGCCAGUCAAAUACGACCCCUCCUUUCGAGGCCCCAUCAAGAACAGAAGCUGCACAGAUGUCAUCUGCUGCGUCCUCUUCCUGCUCUUCAUUCUAGGUUACAUCGUGGUGGGGAUUGUGGCCUGGUUGUAUGGAGACCCGCGGCAAGUCCUCUACCCCAGGAACUCUACCGGGGCCUACUGUGGCAUGGGGGAGAACAAGUGAGUACAAAGGCAAGAAGAGGAGUGCAGGAGCGAGGCAAGAGAUAAGCCGUAUCUCCUGUACUUCAACAUCUUCAGCUGCAUCCUGUCCACCAACAUCAUCUCAGUGGCUGAGAACGGCCUACAGUGCCCCACGCCCCAGGUGUGUGUGUCCUCCUGCCCGGUUG
rnacentral:sRNA from 1 species